UUCAAGUGGAAGGCUUAUAAAAAUAUAUUUGAAUGGCAAUUUGCCAUUAGGGGUCCUUGUGACACUGAAUUUGAAGGAGGAAUUUAUCAUGGA